AAAUACUUAGUAGCUUAACCCAAUACAAAUAUAUUUCUUGCCUAUUAACAGUCUGGUGUGGAUCUCCCUUGUCUGUGAACAGCUUUCUUCCACCUGGUGAUUCAGGAACCCAAGAACCUUUACCUUGUGGCUACACCAUCCUUAGGGGCUUGAAGUCCUUAACAUUCAUCUGAAAAUGGAGAGACAGUACUAAAGAAGAAAUGCCUGACUUAAAAUCCCUGGCCUGGAAGAGACACCACUCUUGCUAUGUUAUUGGGAUGAAGGAAGGAUGGUCACAUGGAAAAUGGCGAGAAGUCUCUGCCUAUCACUGUGGAAAUCUCAGCUUUCCUGGCACAUCUAGUAAAACUUUGAGGUUUGUUUUAUCUUGAGUGAACCUCUGAAUCUAUAACUAACAAACUGAUUUUAAAGCAACAGCUUCCCCUGGAGCCCAGUGCUGUGGUGUUUUGGAGUCAGGCGUGAAUCUAAGCUCAUGUUAACCACCACCUAGUUGUCUCAGGUGGGUCAAUUCAUUUGCUUAAGAGCAAUGAACUUUUGUUUCCACAGCUGUAAAAUACACAAUUCCCUUCUUAACUGGAUUUAUAAAAGUUACAAAACUUAUAAAUACUUUUUAUAAACUGUCAAAAAAUACAGAUGUGUAUGAAGAGUUGUUAUUCUUACCUGUCAUUCCAGCCAUCCUGAU
rnacentral:lncRNA from 1 species